CGAGCGAGAAAGUGACUUCGGUCACGAGUAGAGCGGCGGACGGGUGAGUAAUGCGUGGAUAAUCUACCCUUAAGUCUGGGAUAACUUCGGGAAACUGAAGCUAAUACCGGAUAUGACCACGCCAUUUGCGAAUGAAGUGGUGAAAGGUGGCUAGCUUGCUAGCUAUCACUUAGGGAUGAGUCCACGUCCCAUCAGGUUGUUGGUGAGGUAAAUGCUCACCAAGCCUAAGACGGGUAGCCGACCUUAGCGGGUGAACGGCCACACGGGGACUGAGACACGGCCCCGACUCCUACGGGAGGCAGCAGUGGGGAAUAUUGGGCAAUGGGCGAAAGCCUGACCCAGCGAUACCGCGUGAGGGAUGAAGGCUUUCGAGUUGUAAACCUCUGUCAAGAGGGAAGAUGGGUCUGUAAGCUAAUACCUUACAGACUUGACGGUACCUCUAAAGGAAGCCCCGGCUAACUCCGUGCCAGCAGCCGCGGUAAUACGGAGGGGGCAAGCGUUGCUCGGAAUUACUGGGCGUAAAGGGUCCGCAGGUGGUUUUGUAAGUUAGAUGUGAAAGCUCAGGGCUUAACCCUGAAAUUGCAUCUAAAACUGCUUAACUUGAG
rnacentral:rRNA from 1 species